UACGUAGGGGGCAAGCGUUGUCCGGAUUUAUUGGGCGUAAAGAGCGUGUAGGCGGCCAGGUAGGUCCGUUGUGAAAACUCGAGGCUCAACCUCGAGACGCCGAUGGAAACCAUCUGGCUAGAGUCCGGAAGAGGCGAGUGGAAUUCCCGGUGUAGCGGUGAAAUGCGCAGAUAUCGGGAAGAACACCCGUGGCUAAGGCGGCUCUCUAGUACGGUACUGACGCUGAGACGCGAAAGCGUGGGGAGCGAACAGG
rnacentral:rRNA from 1 species